rnacentral:rRNA from 1 species
CGCGGCCUAUCAGCUUGUUGGUGGGGUGAUGGCCUACCAAGGCGACGACGGGUAGCCGGCCUGAGAGGGCGACCGGCCACACUGGGACUGAGGCACGGCCCAGACUCCUACGGGAGGCAGCAGUGGGGAAUAUUGCGCAAUGGGCGAAAGCCUGACGCAGCGACGCCGCGUGAGGGAUGAAGGCCUUCGGGUUGUAAACCUCUUUCAGCAGGGACGAAGCGAAAGUGACGGUACCUGCAGAAGAAGCACCGGCCAACUACGUGCCAGCAGCCGCGGUAAUACGUAGGGUGCAAGCGUUGUCCGGAAUUAUUGGGCGUAAAGAGCUCGUAGGCGGUCUGUCACGUCGGCUGUGAAAACUCGGGGCUCAACCCCGAGCCUGCAGUCGAUGCGGGCAGACUAGAGUCCGGCAGGGGAGACUGGAAUUCCUGGUGUAGCGGUGAAAUGCGCAGAUAUCAGGAGGAACACCGGUGGCGAAGGCGGGUCUCUGGGCCGGAACUGACGCUGAGGAGCGAAAGCGUGGGGAGCGAACAGGAUUAGAUACCCUGGUAGUCCACGCCGUAAACGUUGGGCGCUAGGUGUGGGGGACCUUCCACGUUCUCCGUGCCGCAGCUAACGCAUUAAGCGCCCCGCCUGGGGAGUACGG